UCUGGUUGCCUAAAUACUCUUUUCUCAUUUAGUUCCAGAACCCUGGACAAUAAACUCAAAUGAAGAACUACAUUCACAAGCUUGUCAAGCAGGGUGGGCAGAUAUCAACAAUUUUAUGACUUAUGGAUUGAAUUCAUACACUGAAGAUGAUGGAGGAGGAAGACAGAAAAAGCCUCAGGCUAUCAUAGCUGUACAGCUGCCUCCUAGUUUCCUGACUUCAUUUAGGGAAGAGAAUAAAAUCCUAAUUCCCUCAA